rnacentral:rRNA from 1 species
AGCAAUCCUGGUGGCGAGUGGCGAACGGGUGAGUAAUACAUCGGAACGUGCCCAGUAGUGGGGGAUAGCCCGGCGAAAGCCGGAUUAAUACCGCAUACGACCUAUGGGUGAAAGCGGGGGAUCGCAAGACCUCGCGCUAUUGGAGCGGCCGAUGUCAGAUUAGCUAGUUGGUGGGGUAAAAGCCUACCAAGGCGACGAUCUGUAGCUGGUCUGAGAGGACGACCAGCCACACUGGGACUGAGACACGGCCCAGACUCCUACGGGAGGCAGCAGUGGGGAAUUUUGGACAAUGGGCGCAAGCCUGAUCCAGCCAUGCCGCGUGCGGGAAGAAGGCCUUCGGGUUGUAAACCGCUUUUGUCAGGGAAGAAACGCGCUGAGCUAAUACCUCGGCGUAAUGACGGUACCUGAAGAAUAAGCACCGGCUAACUACGUGCCAGCAGCCGCGGUAAUACGUAGGGUGCAAGCGUUAAUCGGAAUUACUGGGCGUAAAGCGUGCGCAGGCGGCUUUGCAAGACAGAUGUGAAAUCCCCGGGCUUAACCUGGGAACUGCAUUUGUGACUGCAUGGCUAGAGUGCGGCAGAGGGGGAUGGAAUUCCGCGUGUAGCAGUGAAAUGCGUAGAUAUGCGGAGGAACACCGAUGGCGAANGCAAUCCCCUGGGCCUGUACUGACGCUCAUGCACGAAAGCGUGGGGAGCAAACAGGAUUAGAUACCCCUGGUAGUCCACGCCCUAAACGAUGUCAACUGGUUGUUGGACGGCUUGCUGUUCAGUAACGAAGCUAACGCGUGAAGUUGACCGCCUGGGGAGUAC